rnacentral:tRNA from 1 species
GCCGGCGUGGCGGAAUUGGCAGACGCGCCAGAUUUAGGUUCUGGUGGGCAACCCCCGUGGAGGUUCGAACCCUCUCGCCGGUA